GCUUGAGCCACAUCCCCAGCCCCGACUCAGGCCCACCAUCGGUCUCCUCCACUGGAAUACAAGCUUCAUGGAGCAGGAACUCUAUUUUACUCACCUCCUUCCUGCCCAUGGCACCCUUCUGAGCCCACAGGCUCCUGGGAACUGAGUGGGAGUCUGCUGAGCAAGAGGAGGAGGGCCCUACAGGCCACCAGGCCAGCGCAGUGACUGCCCUCCCGCUGGGUCGUGGGCACCCCAGCUUCUGUGCUGCUGAGGCACUUAUGCUUUCUUGAAGGAACCAGCUUUGCACACUUCUGAGUCUUUGCCCUGGCUGUCCUUCCCAGUCACUUCCUCUGGGGACAGCAGCCACCAACCAUGAGGAAGUUCACACUGUCUCCUUGAGAGCCAUGUGAAGAGGAAGGGGGCCCCAACCCCCAGCCAGCACCAACCGAUUCUCCAGCCACAGGAGUGAGCAUCUUGGAUGUGGAGCCUGAAUCCCUGACCCUCAGGGAGCCUGGAAAGUGACAAGGACUAUCAAGAAAGGUCAAGGAAGAAAGGGAAAGAUGAUAAAUAACCACAAUCAUUAAUAUUCAGGCGUGUGCGUUAUUGAAUCUUCCACCCAGUGCAUGGGACUGGGAGUCAGGGCUGUCAUUGAACAGCCUGCGGUUCCUGGGGCGAGGACUGCCCAGGUAGGUCACAUGUGCAUGCAGCACAGAGGCUCAGUGGUGGCCUGGCUUUGCCACUGUCUGUCCAUGCCCAACGCCUAAGACAAUCAAUGCUGAGGGCCAUUGCUAAGUAAGAAUGACGCAUGGCAUGACCCAGGUCAUUUGCAGUGUCAUU